UAUCCAUGUCGUGCUUUGUCGUACCGUUGAUUUCUCCGUUUUCAGCGGCCAUCGUCAUUAGAUGUGGAGCUGUUGCUCCUACUUUAAUUAGCAUCUCAUAGAACAUUCGAGGAUGCUUAGAUCUGGAAGUGUUGCCUUGGCCCUGUUUAUUCUAGUUUAAUACCGGUUUCAUACCGACUAUGCUUUGGUUUCUGUUGCUUGUGAAAAUGAUCCUUCUCGAAGGUCUCAAAGGCUUCCUCUGGACUCCCCUUCAAUUCGUAUUUCUGUAUUGACGCGAUGUCUAGAUCUUCCGUCUGUGACAUAGUGAAUGAAUAAAGAAAGAGUCUGUUUCUUUCAGUAGUUUAAGGAUGCGUUUUGUAACUUCGGAAUUAGUUUGGACUCGGCCACUUGUGUAUUUCUAAGUUCUUAGUAUUCGAUCUUUGGCUUGUUUGGGGUUACCUUUCCUUCAAGCUUUAGGAUUUUAGUAGUUGAGACUCUUGCAGAUUUUAGGAUUGACUGGAUUGCACUCAUGGCUCCGCUGUGUCGCGAAGUGUAAAGGUUCCUAGGAUGGAGGUUAAGUGAGAGAUUCUAUUUGUCCUCUCUUAGUAUUUUAUUUUCUGCUUGAACUUUCUGAUAAAUCUCCUCUAUCUCUUAGAUCCUUCUUAGUUUGAUCCAUUUCUUUUGACCUUGCUAAGAUUGUUUCAAGGCUUAGUUUCAUAUUUUGGCAAAAAACAGAUGGAAUGCAGUGUUAUAGUGGGUUGAAACCGGAGAUAUUGAGUUAAUCUCUCUUGAACACCACCGGUUGUUGAAAUGUUUUCAAGCCUAUGGUAGAUUUUCAUGUGCCCCUUUCUCGUAAGAACAACAAGCUGAAACACUAUUGGUAUCUCAUGUAGUGUUUGAACUACUCUCUUAUGUGGUUUGAGAUUAUUAAGAAUUUCACAAUGCA
rnacentral:sRNA from 1 species